rnacentral:rRNA from 1 species
GAUGAACGCUGGCGGCGUGCUUAACACAUGCAAGUCGAACGGAAAGGCCCCUGCUUGCAGGGGUACUCGAGUGGCGAACGGGUGAGUAACACGUGGGUGAUCUGCCCUGCACUUCGGGAUAAGCCUGGGAAACUGGGUCUAAUACCGGAUAGGACGAUGGUUUGGAUGCCAUUGUGGAAAGUUUUUCGGUGUGGGAUGAGCUCGCGGCCUAUCAGCUUGUUGGUGGGGUAAUGGCCUACCAAGGCGUCGACGGGUAGCCGGCCUGAGAGGGUGUACGGCCACAUUGGGACUGAGAUACGGCCCAGACUCCUACGGGAGGCAGCAGUGGGGAAUAUUGCACAAUGGGCGCAAGCCUGAUGCAGCGACGCCGCGUGGGGGAUGACGGCCUUCGGGUUGUAAACUCCUUUCGUCAGGGACGAAGCGAAAGUGACGGUACCUGGAUAAGAAGCACCGGCUAACUACGUG